AUGCGGCCUCUCUCCUUCCCUCCCCUCACGCUCUGGCGCCGCCCCUACUGCUCCGUCGGCCCGACGCAGCCCGAUCUCAUGCGAUCUCACAGCCGCCGUCGCCGAUCUCACAGCCGGAUCUCGUGCGAUCUCGCGCCACCAACGUACGGAGUCGCCUCCACGGUACGGGAUCACUGCCACCGACGUAAGAGGUCACGUUGCUACCACCACUGA
rnacentral:rRNA from 1 species